UGCGAGAAAGGGCAAAAGGUUUUGGCUUAUUUUAAUUGUGAUGUGAUUUAUGAUAUGACAAGAUUGCUUUAAAAAGAGUAAUAAAAAAAAGGAACAAAAAAAGAGAAAAACAAACAAAAAAAGAGUAAUGAAAUCCCCCAUUACAUUUAUACGUUAACUAGAAUCUGGAAUAUGGAGGAAGACAAUCCUCCUCUGCUUGGAUAUCAGAACAGACCUGUAGCAUUGAGUUCAAUAUCAAGGCUUUACUUUAAGUUUAACGUCAAUAACCUGAAGGGAUCCCCAGAGGAGUAUCUAGAAAAAACUGAUGAUUCUGGAAAAGGGACAUAAGGAGAGGAUAAUCUUUUAGCCUUGGGACAAGAACGCUGUUGAUCCACUAUAAUUAUCUUCAAACCUUUAAAAGGUUUUCAUGUGACUCUGACUGAGAAUAAGAAAAACUUUUUUGGUUUUUUACAUUUUAGGGAGACAUUAGACUUCAAGCAAAUACAGUCAAGAAAUGCAUUGGUUUGCUCCAGAAAGGCGGAAUGACUCAAAGAUGUCUGGUCUUCCAGGUUACAGAUGAGUAGCUGAUUCUGGAGCCUAGGUUCUUGCUUCCUGGUCUGGCGAUGAGUCCUCCAUAGUCUGGUGAGUGUAGUGGCCAACUCUAAAGCCCAGGCUGUUGCUUCCCGGUCUGGCAAUGAAUCCUCAGUAGUCUGUUGAUCCCAACUAUCUGGUUAAAAAUGAGCUUCUGCUUGCUGCUUUCUAAAGAAGAAUGGCUUAGAAUGGAUGCGUUUCUGUGCUUUGGAGAAGCUUGUUACUGAGUUGCCCUUGAACUAAAACAUCGCAUGAAAGACACCACACCUCACUAAUACAAUUUCCCAAGAAUCAGCUCAUCAAGAAGUCUUUAUCUUUUACGAAGUUUGCCCCAAGUUCCCAAAAAGGGCCAUGACUACUAAAAGAGGCUGAAACAUGGAUCUGUGCCUUUGCCCUUACUGAAGCUCUCAUCAUGUGAAUGAGUGAUCUCCUAGAAGAUCUCUGAAUAAUCUCACAGAUAAGAGUGGACUACCCAACCCCAACUACCUGCCUACCUCUAGUCACUAUUUGGAUAGGGUAAGGUUUUUGAGUGUGGAUAACCAGAGAAUGGUGAUACCACAGGGAGGCACUUUAAAAUUAUAUACAAAGAAAACCAGUUUUAUAUAUGAGGUGAUAACCAUGCAUCUAUUAGGAAAUAUCCAUCCAGCAGAAAUGCAAAAUUAAAGCUCUGGGGAGCUUCAGGUUGGAGAUAUAUAUACAUGUGGCAUCUGAAAAAAUAGUUGAAACCACGGGGGAAAGUAUAACAGAGAGGUAAAUGGAAAACAAUGCUUUUUAAGGUCAAGGGAAGAGUUUUGACCAAAUAGGGGUCACUCAACAUGGGAAUAGGUGAGAGGAAAGGUGACUAUAGAAAGAGAUUAAACUUGAUUCCUAAGUUCAUGUUCUCUUUAUCUGUAUGUCCUCAUAUCUAGCUUUACUUAAAAUCUUUCUUCCCCUGAAAUCUGAUCUUUUUUAUUUCUAUGUGUUGCCAAGACACUCAUCACAUCCUGCCUUGAUUUACACAAACUCCUUCUCACUGGCCUCUUUCUCAUCAGUUUCCUACUCCAGUCUUUGCCAAAUGUUACUGCCAAGUCCAUUUUCCUUUCCUGCUGUUCAGACUAUGUUUCUCCCACUCUGCUUUGGCUUCUCUUCACCUUCCAGCCUCCCCACAACUCUGUACCUGCUUACAACUCUUCCUCAUCCAUCCUACAGCCCCAUCCCACACCACGCCUCCACUACUUCCUCUGGCCCUCUCAUCUCCUCUGGCAACUUUAACCACCAAAUUGAGGCACUCAAAACUUCAGGCCAACACUCUACAUUAUCCUUCCCAGCAGAUCUCCCAACUCAUGCACAGCAACACAGCUCCUAUUCCUGCUGCAAAGAAACCCAGUGUAUCCACUUCCUGUAUGAAGCUUGUUAGCUCUAAUAACGGUAUGCUGUGUGCUACAUUCUCCCAGGGUAUGCAAAGGAGUAUUGCUUGGACUAUAUUCUUUCCUGUCCCCAUUACCUCUAGGGCCUUGUAUUGUUUGUUCUGGAACAACACAAUUUCAUUACUGUCAGAUAAUUUGUUUCCUGUAAAGUACUUACUGGUGUUACCUUGGGGUACUACAUAAACAAUACAAAUCUCACAAUGCCUCGCUGAUGAGAGGGCCAAAACCCAACCAGUUUGUCCCAAAGUAUCUUGAGUUUUUUUCUCAGUAGUGCUUGGGGAAAAAAAACCGUAUCUGUCAGGAAAAGGGAGAAAAAUAAUGUACAGAAAGGAAGGUAUGAUGUUUCUAUUGUCCUCAACAAAUACCGUUCAUGGGAAAAAAUCCCACAUAUUUGAGCAAAUCAGAAAUUCAAUGAGAAUUAUACGUAACUCAGUCAAAACUCCUUUCUAGGUAUGGAAGAUACGUCCUCAAGGACAUAUCUUACUGUUAUCACAGAAAGCAAUGAUUUGCCUUGCUACCUCCAAACCUUUGCUCAUGCCAGUUUCAUUUAGCAUAUAUAUGUAAUAUAAUUCAUUUUAGAAAAAAUACUCACUAUAAAACUCAAAGAACUAAGAUGUAUAAGUAUAUAGGCAAGUAUGGAGAAUAAAUAUAUAUAUACAUCUCCAGGAGCAUGAUUUAAAUAAU